rfam:Glycine soja cultivar W05 scaffold632_32, whole genome shotgun sequence.
AGGCCAAUGAGGAUUAUUUGAAUUGGAAUUACAGUCUGAACAAAUUUACAUUUGAUGUGAAUUUCUGACUGGCUCUGAGGCUUCGU